rnacentral:sRNA from 1 species
UUGAAUCUCCUUACACAUGACACAUUGAUUAACAAUUAAGCAAGAUUACAAAAUCAGCCUGAUUACUUCCAUGUUCCCACCUUUAACUUAUAUCUAGCAGCCUUGCAUCAUUUAUAAUCUUUAAAAAAUAUACAAGAUCCAUCAUCAAAUAAGUAUUUUAAUAAUCAUUUAACUGUUGGACUCAGACUCAGUUUUUUAUAACCUGAUUCCGUGGUUAUAAUAUAUAAGGGAAGUAGAAAUUGAUACAUAAAACUUUCAAUAGAAAAGAGCUGUUGUCUAAUCCAAGAACAAGGAGGAGGAUUUUAUAGUAACUCAUCUUGCUUCCAUAGUUGUAUUUGUGAUAACAUUAACUGAAAAUCUUUCUGGGGUGGUUGAGGGCAAUGUUGAACUAUACUCACCUCUUACCUUUAGAAAUGCAGGUGGUUUAGGAGAAGGAAGGAGCACAGUGUCAUUUCCAAUCAUUGAUACAACAUCAGACAUGGUUGGCCUAUCUUUUGGACUUUCUUGAACGCAAAGAAGUCCUAUGUUCACAUAUCUUGGCACAGUAUGCAGACUGUUAUUACUUAAAGUAUCACUGUCAUCUAAUGCACUGUCCAUUAGAUCCAGUCCUGAAUUUCUUGUCCAAAGAUCCCAAGCCUUCAAGAUUUAACACAAAACAACCUCAAAAUUAGAAAGUCUGGAGCAUAUUCUGUACGACAAGUCUUUUUUCCUUA